rnacentral:rRNA from 1 species
UACGUAGGUGGCAAGCGUUGUCCGGAAUUAUUGGGCGUAAAGCGUGCGUAGGCGGUUUGUUUAGUCAGAUGUGAAAGCCCCGGGCUCAACCUAGGAACUGCAUUUGAUACUGGCAGACUAGAGUAUGGUAGAGGGGGGUAGAAUUCCUGGUGUAGCGGUGAAAUGCGUAGAUAUCAGGAGGAAGACCAGUGGCGAAGGCGACCCCCUGGGCCAAUACUGACGCUGAGGUACGAAAGCGUGGGUAGCGAACAGG